UACAGAGGGGGCAAGCGUUAUUCGGAAUUAUUGGGCGUAAAGGGCGCGUAGGCGGCUUUGCAAGUGACGGGUGAAAUCCCUCGGCUUAACCGAGGAACUGCCUGUCAAACUGCAUGGCUUGAGACCGGGAGAGGUGAGUGGAAUUCCCAGUGUAGCGGUGAAAUGCGUAGAUAUUGGGAGGAACACCAGUGGCGAAGGCGGCUCACUGGACCGGUACUGACGCUGAUGCGCGAAAGCGUGGGGGAGCAAACAGGG
rnacentral:rRNA from 1 species